AGACGAUGCUAGCUCCCUUCACUCUGAGCAGUCAUUAGAAGUGGAGGACGUUUCUCCCCCUCCUUACCCAGACACUCGAGAAGAAAGGGACCAAGUCUAAUUGGAGGAGACAAGCGGACAUGAGCCUUAUUGUUCUGAGCUUGUGAGUUGCCUGAAAUUACCGGAACCGACCCAACAGAACCAUCUCUGAAUGUGAUCCUCUGGUGUCUGCAGCUGGUCUCCUGCUGGUGUCGUCAGGAUCAGGAGCUUCCAGAAGAAUGUGCCUUUCAAUGACUCUUUCCCCCUUAUUUGUUAUAUUAAUUAAAUAAAUCUCAAUUUAUAUAUUUCCUGUUUUUGUUCAUGCCCAUAAAUACUUAAACAUGCUUGAAAUUAAAACGAGCUUUUAACAGUGAGGUGCUAGUGUAAUUCAUCACAAUAGAGCUAGUUAAACAUGCAACAAUGUGAUCAUUCAAUUAAUGUAAUUUAUAAAUAUCCAUUAAAAUAUCAAAACUGGAAUCAAAAUGAGAUAUUUGGCAGCACAAAAAAACUUGUCAAACACAAUAUUUAUUAUAAUAAUUGUAGGCAGACAGGAGACAGAGCUGAUGGAGGUUCUCAGUCAUCGAAGGAUGGCUGAAGGCUUUCCAGGAACAGGAGAUGUGGUGUUGUCUCUUCUCUCUCUAUUCUGCCAGAUGAGCUGAUAGGUUACAGGUGUGUGAGGACAUCCUCAUGCUGUCAUAACCAGAUGACAGGAGUUAUCAGGUGAUCAGCCAGGCUAAUGAUGAGAUGCAGAAAGAAAACAAAUCAUGCAGAAAGAAAACAAAUCCAGGACAGUGUACAAUAAUAACAAUAAUCUGUGGUGUUGCUCACCUUAUGUGCUCUUAUAGAGUUAUUAACGUGUGCCUGCCUCAUGGUGUAGAGUCCAUAUUUUGCUGAGUGUCCUGCAAUAAUGCAGGUUAUUAGUUAAUUUACUUUUGAUAGCAAAAACAAAAUAUUUAAUUUAAAAGUUGUUUACCAGGUGAAUCAGCUCACACG